rnacentral:rRNA from 1 species
AUGAACGCUAGCUACAGGCUUAACACAUGCAAGUCGAGGGGCAGCAUGGUCUUAGCUUGCUAAGGCCGAUGGCGACCGGCGCACGGGUGAGUAACACGUAUCCAACCUGCCGUCUACUCUUGGACAGCCUUCUGAAAGGAAGAUUAAUACAAGAUGGCAUCAUGAGUCCGCAUGUUCACAUGAUUAAAGGUAUUCCGGUAGACGAUGGGGAUGCGUUCCAUUAGAUAGUAGGCGGGGUAACGGCCCACCUAGUCUUCGAUGGAUAGGGGUUCUGAGAGGAAGGUCCCCCACAUUGGAACUGAGACACGGUCCAAACUCCUACGGGAGGCAGCAGUGAGGAAUAUUGGUCAAUGGGCGAGAGCCUGAACCAGCCAAGUAGCGUGAAGGAUGACUGCCCUAUGGGUUGUAAACUUCUUUUAUAAAGGAAUAAAGUCGGGUAUGGAUACCCGUUUGCAUGUACUUUAUGAAUAAGGAUCGGCUAACUCCGUGCCAGCAGCCGCGGUAAUACGGAGGAUCCGAGCGUUAUCCGGAUUUAUUGGGUUUAAAGGGAGCGUAGAUGGAUGUUUAAGUCAGUUGUGAAAGUUUGCGGCUCAACCGUAAAAUUGCAGUUGAUACUGGAUAUCUUGAGUGCAGUUGAGGCAGGCGGAAUUCGUGGUGUAGCGGUGAAAUGCUUAGAUAUCACGAAGAACUCCGAUUGCGAAGGCAGCCUGCUAAGCUGCAACUGACAUUGAGGCUCGAAAGUGUGGGUAUCAAACAGGAUUAGAUACCCUGGUAGUCCACACGGUAAACGAUGAAUACUCGCUGUUUGCGCUAUACAGCAAGCGGCCAAGCGAAAGCGUUAAGUAUUCCACCUGGGGAGUACGCCGGCAACGGUGAAACUCAAAGGAAUUGACGGGGGCCCGCACAAGCGGAGGAACAUGUGGUUUAAUUCGAUGAUACGCGAGGAACCUUACCCGGGCUUAAAUUGCAGAUGAAUUACGGUGAAAGCCGUAAGCCGCAAGGCAUCUGUGAAGGUGCUGCAUGGUUGUCGUCAGCUCGUGCCGUGAGGUGUCGGCUUAAGUGCCAUAACGAGCGCAACCCUUGUUGUCAGUUACUAACAGGUUCCGCUGAGGACUCUGACAAGACUGCCAUCGUAAGAUGUGAGGAAGGUGGGGAUGACGUCAAAUCAGCACGGCCCUUACGUCCGGGGCUACACACGUGUUACAAUGGGGGGUACAGAGGGCCGCUACCACGCGAGUGGAUGCCAAUCCCCAAAACCUCUCUCAGUUCGGACUGGAGUCUGCAACCCGACUCCACGAAGCUGGAUUCGCUAGUAAUCGCGCAUCAGCCACGGCGCGGUGAAUACGUUCCCGGGCCUUGUACACACCGCCCGUCAAGCCAUGGGAGCCGGGGGUACCUGAAGUGCGUAACCGCGAGGAGCGCCCUAGGGUAAAACUGGUGACUGGGGCU